CAAUGAAAGUGAACCGUUACGGUGCGGACGAUGGCCUAGCGACCGAACCCACCGGCGUCAAAGUCGCGCUGGUCCGCAGUCCGGGGCGUCUCCCGCCAAGUCGGCUUCGGCCGGCUGGGGGCGCACCCUUAGCGCACACGUUGGUACCCGAAAGAUGGUGAACUAUGCCUGGCCAGGAUGAAGUCAGGGGAAACCUGAUGGAGGUCCGCAGCGAUUCUGACGUGCAAAUCGAUCGUCUGAGCUGGGUAUAGGGGCGAAAGACUAAUCGAACCAUCUAGUAGCUGGUUCCAUCCGAAGUUUCCCUCAGGAUAGCUGGCGCCGAUGUGUCCCGCCCGUUCGCGGGCGUACGGACGCCGGUGGGACUCCGCGCUGUACGGCGCGGUAACAACACGCUCGUAACACGGAGGAUGUCUCAUACGGUAAAGCGAAUGAUUAGAGGACAUUGGGGCCGAAACGACCUCAACCUAUUCUCAAACUAUAAAUGAGUGAGAUCGCCGGCUUUACCUGGUACACCGCGUGAACCGCGUGCGAAGCCGGCGACGGAACCCUAGGCGCUUAGUGGGCCAUUUUUGGUAAGCAGAACUGGCGCUGCGGGAUGAACCGAACGCCGAGUUAAGGCGCCGAAAUCGACGCGUAUUCAGAGACCAUGAAAGGCGUUGGUUGCUGAUGACAGCAGGACGGUGGCCAUGGAAGUCGGAAUCCGCUAAGGAGUGUGUAACAACUCACCUGCCGAAGCAACUAGCUCUGAAAAUGGAUGGCGCUGGAGCGUCGUGCCUAUACUCGGCCGUCGACGGCAUAGUGGGGCCAGUCGUCGCUCGCGGCGGCCGGUCCCGGCAAGCCUCGACGAGUAGGAUGGCGCGGCGGUGUGCGUCGAAGGGCAGGUCGCGAGACCGCCUGGAGCCGCCGUCGGUGCAGAUCUUGGUGGUAGUAGCAAAUACUCGAGAGGGGCCCUCGGGGGCUGCCGUGGAGAAGGGUUUCUUGUG
rnacentral:ncRNA from 1 species